rnacentral:rRNA from 1 species
AACGAACGCUGGCGGCGUGCCUAACACAUGCAAGUCGAGCGCGAAAGUCCUGGAGUGAGUAGAGCGGCGCACGGGUGAGUAACACGUGGGUAAUCUGCCUUUGGGUCCGGGAUAACUCGGGGAAACUCGAGCUAAUACUGGAUAAGACCACGCAACGGGAGUUGUGCGGGAAAAGCGGGGGCCUUCUUCGGAAGCCUCGUACCUUUAGAUGAGCCCGCGUCCCAUCAGCUAGUUGGCGGAG